GAGAGAGGCUCGACAGCAACGUUGACUGCUAAUCUUCGUCACCGUGGUUAAACUCCGCGGCUCACUCG
rnacentral:tRNA from 1 species